GGGCUGCAGUGGGGAAUUUUGGACAAUGGGGGCAACCCUGAUCCAGCCAUUCCGCGUGAGUGAAGAAGGCCUUCGGGUUGUAAAGCUCUUUCAGCUGGAACGAAACGGUAUUUCUUAAUACGGGAUGCUAAUGACGGUACCAGCAGAAGAAGCACCGGCUAACUACGUGCCAGCAGCCGCGGUAAUACGUAGGGUGCGAGCGUUAAUCGGAAUUACUGGGCGUAAAGCGUGCGCAGGCGGAUUGUUAAGCAAGAUGUGAAAUCCCCGGGCUUAACCUGGGAAUGGCAUUUUGAACUGGCAGUCUAGAGUGUGUCAGAGGGGGGUGGAAUUCCACGUGUAGCAGUGAAAUGCGUAGAUAUGUGGAGGACAAUGGCGAAGGCAGCCCCCUGGGAUAACACUGACGCUCAUGUACGAAAGCGUGGGUAGCAAACAGGAUUAGAUACCCCAGUAGUC
rnacentral:rRNA from 1 species